UUUUUUUUUUUUUUGUGGGUAGGAUUAUUCAUUUCAUGCAUAUUAUUCAAAUUAAACAACUUAUUAUAAUGGCCAUUGUUUUUGCAUUUUCUAACUCACAAUUGAAAGUGGUCUGAUGGGAUCUCAUGCGAGGCCAUACUAAAGAGAUGUUUUCCGUAAAUCAUAUUUUAUACCAGUUCCAAUACACAUUUAAUUAAUGCAAAAAAACCAAUUAUAUUUCCCAAUUUAUUCUUCUUUUUUCCUCCUUUCCCUUUUCCGAUCUAAAGUCAUGGCUAACGAUAAGGUAACCAUUCCAAUUCACAUUCUCACUUUUUUUUCUCUUUUUUUUUAAUUAUAAAAUGUUCAGUCUUGUUUCUUUUUGCUGAUAAUUAGUUACAAAGUCGUGGAGUUUUUUUUUUCUCCUUAUUUUUCUUUUUGGAGUUAACUUUAUAGCAAGUUAAGUCAAAGGUAGCAUUCUUCUUGUUUGGAUUUCUUGAAUUUUGUUGGAAUGAUGCAGCUCUUGACUUGGAAAAAAGAACCUAUUUUUAGAAACUGAUGGUUUGAUUAGCUAAAUUUUGGUUCAAAUUUGUAGUUUAAGUUAAUUUUAAUGACUUCUGAAGAAAUCCCUCUUUUUAAGUAAGUCUGUCGAGUUGAAUGAAGUUGGUUUAUAGUCAAUUUUCUGGAUAGCCAAGAGAGGGGCUUGAUCUGUAUUCUACUUAAAGACAUUUUCAACUUGGUCCAGCCCAUCUUGAGUAAAUUCAAAAGUGGAUCUUCAAUAUAUUGAGCGUAGCCCUACAGAUUGAUGCCCAUUGCACAAGUUGGUUGAGAUUGUUAGAAGACAAACUCAACUCAACUAGUUAAGGCCCAACCUUCCUAGCUACAUUUUUUUUUGUGGGUAGCGACAUAGGUUUAAUCAUAUUGUAGUAGGAUUAUUCAUUUGAUGCAUAAUAUUCAAAACAACUUAUUCAUUGUUUUCGCAUCUUCUAACUCACAACUGAAGUGGUCUGGAGGGAUCUCAUGCGAGGCCAUACCAAAGAGAUACUUUCUAUACAUUUAGUUAAUGCAAAACGAUUUUUUUUUUUUAAAGUACUGCUUGUUUUCAAAUACAGGUUCAAAAAGGCAAAAAUGUUCAAAUUGGCCUUACCGGACCAUAGCUUAGAGUAUAACUUGGACAGUGACAAAGAAUAUACUAGGCCAAACUGUGAGUUCUAUAAUUGAAAGGAUUCGAACUUUCCAGAGUCCUAUUAGAAAAGGGUAAAUGAUUUCUUGCAUUGGUUGGUGUGAUUAAUGAACCCCUAACAGAUUACGCAUUUCAUCAAUAACGAUUAUGUGGUAAUGGUUGCAACCCAAAGUGGAAUGAAUUAACAAAAGGGACGCUAACUAUAUAUUCAACAGGCGAAAUUUGGGAAGGAUACUAUUUGAAGGACACUAUUUGACGGAAAGAACUAAAGAUUGUCAUGAAACAGAACUAUGCAAAUGCAGUUUUUCCUCUGGAUGCCUUUCAAAUGACAACUAAGAAAAUGAACUUGAAACUGGGUACAAACAAAUAGAUUGACAGAACAAGAUGUUUAGACGCGAGAAAGAAAACUUUGGCAUCUUAAUAAUAUAUUAUUGAUAUAUCAGCAUACUUAAGGUGGAUAAUAUAACUUAUUUUGCUUCAUGUUUCAAAUCUUGGCGUCAUCCUGCAACAGAGGACAUUGGAAAAGAUUAUUUGAGUGGAACAAACUUGAUCAGUUAGAUUAAGUAAAAGAACGUACUCUCAUGCCGAGAGAUUCGGAAAAGACUCAAGUUGACGUUUUAUCUUUUGAAGUGCCGCCACAACAUCCUUCAUAUUAGUCCGAUCUCGCGGGCAUUCAGCACAGCAACUCAAAGCCAAUUUGCAGAUCACUGAAAUACACUCCAAUUUCUCAUUGAAAUGCUCAUCUUGCCGCCCCAGUAAGUUUGCAUCUAUAACCUGAGUUGUUGCAUUAGGCAGAGAUUCUUCAAUCCAACUCUUCAGGCUCACAUCAUCUUUGAACAUUUCAUCACUCGGCUUCAUUCUUGAAAAGGUUUCCAUCAAAACUAUACCAAAACUAUACACAUCAACUCUCGUUGACACCUGCCCUUCAAGUCCAUACUCUCUGUGAUAUGAAAGGCAAUACAUCACGCUUAAACCGAAAAAAAAAAUAGAAAAUUUGGAAGAUUGACAUAUAAUUCACGAAAAAAACGGAUUAAAAAAAGCAACUAAAAAGAAGUCAAAUAUGCCAAACCUGGUGCCAAGUAUCCAAGCGUUGCAAGUGUCUUGGUAUGUAGAACACUAUUUUCUUCAUCCAAAAACUUUGCCAUACCAAAAUCACUCACAUGAGCAACCAUACUUUCAUCGAGUAAUAUGUUGCUAGGUUUCAGAUCGCAGUGAACCACUGGUGUUGUAUAACUAAAAUGGAGAUAUUCCAAUGCGGAAGCAACAUCCAUCAUUAUGCUUAUCCUUUGCAGCAGAUCCAAGCGAUGGUUGUGGGAGUACAACCAUUUCUCAAGGCUCCCAUUAGACUUGAAAUCAUACACUAAGGCUUUGAAGUCCAGGUUAGAGCAACUACCAAUCACUUUGGUUAGGUUUCUAUGGCGAAGGCUGCGUAGAACUUCACACUCUGUAUCAAAACUCCCGGAAGUGACUUCUGCUAGUAAAGUGAAAACUUUCACAGCUACAACUGUCCCAUCCGUCAAAAUACCCUUAUAUACAGAUCCAAAACUCCCUUUGCCAAGUAAAUUGCUUUCAUCAUAGCCAUUGGUCGCUUGCACAAGUUCAUAGUAUGAAAUCAUUUUUGGCAAUCCCAUGGGCAACAAAUCAGUGUUUCUUGAAAUCCCAUCCUUUCUUCUGCAUCUUAAAAGUAAAAUUGCAGCAGUUGUAAGAGCAAUUAUUGUUGCUGCAAUACCUGAUAGAAUGCCUAGCAUAUGAAAUACUUUCUUCUGACUGGAUUUGUGAAUCCGAGGAGAAGGACAUGGAGGAACAUGAAACCUCUGAGCGCCACACAAGUCAUCAUUAGACAUGAAUGAUUCAUAUGUGAAGUUCUCGAAAGGACCACUGGAGGGAAUUUCUCCUCUUAAGCGGUUGAAAGAAAGAUUAAUGUAUUUGAGACAUACAAGUGUCUCCAAGGACUUUGGUAUUGGACCUGAUAGAUUAUUAUUGGAUAGAUCCAAAAAUUCCAAGCUGAACAUCUGAUUGAGAGAGUCUGGAACAGGUCCCUGAAGUUUAUUUUGUGCUAAUGAAAGCGUUGCUAAACUUUCCAAGCCUCCCAAGGAACGUGGAAUAUUCCCAUUAAGGUGAUUUCCUGACAAAUCUAAUAGUGUUACUACCUUCAAAUUUCCAGUUUCAUAAGGUAGUGAGCCACUCAAGGAAUUAUAUGACAGGUUCAACAUCAAGAGAUCAGUGAGGUUCCACAAGCUAGCAGGUAUGCUUGAGUUUAAUAAGUUCCCGGCAAAGUCAAUUCCCCCCAAGGAACUUAUAUUAUUUAAGCAUGAUGGUAUUGACCCACGAAAAAUGUUUUGCCCGAGAUCGAUUUGGUACAAUCUCUUUAACUUGCAAAUGCAAUCUGGAAUUGAACCACUUAAUUGAUUAGCACUCAAAUCCAAACCUUGAAGAUUUUGCAAGUAUUUCAUUGUGCUCGGAACGGGCCCACUGAGGUGAUUUCCUCCUAGAACCAAAAUCAUUAGGCUGCUCAAAUUCCCAAUUGCAUCGGGAAUGCUUCCCUUGAUUCCGCAACCAGAUGCAUAGAAUCUCUGUAUAGAAGUUGACAGAUUCCCAACUGACAUCGGAAGAAAACCGUGCAGCGGAUUUUCAGCAAAACCUAAUUUUUGCAGAUACUUGCAAUUUCUCAAGUAACUGAUAAAGCUCAAUUCUGUCGAUGAAGGUUCAGUUGUCAAAUGGUUUUCAUCGAGACUCAAUUCUCUUAGAAGUCUUAGGUUUCCAAGAGAGUUUGGAACUGGACCGCUGAAUCUAUUUCCAAUCAAUCCUAAAUCAGUAAGCUUAGACGCAUUUGAGAUUGACGCUGGUAUUACACCAUCACACUCAUUUGAAAAGAGAGCAAGCACUUCAAGGUUGAUCAAUCCAUAACCCAUGGAUGACGGAAGUGUUCCGGAAAGCGCAUUGUUCGACAGGAGCAGUACUUGCAGUGUCGAGAUGUUGAAUAUUUGGGCUGGUAUGGAUCCAGUUAGGUUAUUGAAGCCCAAACCAAGUUUUUCAAGAUGCUUUAGGCGGUCAAGCUCUAGUGGAAUACUACCUAGAGAGUUACCACGUUUACAAAUGUUAGUGCACUUAGAAUGCUUUAAAGAAUUUACUUAAAACCUUGUCUUCAUUACAAGGAAUUGCUUUUUUUUUUCUUUUAGAUAAAAUACUUUCACAACAACCAAGAGAUAUUUAAGUUAAUAGGGUUUGAAGACAAUAGAAAGGCAAAUUUGCAUAUAUAAUCAACAUGGAAUUGUUUUUUCUUUCAGAUAAAUGCAUAUAUUUUUGCAGAUUAAUAUGCUUAGUAAUUACAAAAAGAUUCAAGCUUAUAUAUAUACAUAACUUCACACAAAAAGCUUUGGUAGUUUGAUGAGGUGAUUUUGUCAUUCAUAUUUUGAUUAUUAUACGUCUUUGUUAUACGGUCUUUGUUUAAUAAGAAAGUGUUACCAACUAUUAUUUCAGGUUUGAUAAGUAAUUACCUUUCAGGAUUUCCUUCAUACAAGCCUUCAAAUUACUAAUCAAUAUAUUAUUUAAUUGUUUGAGAAUAUAUAACUAGUAAUAAGUAGCUCUUUUUUAAUAGUAUAUCAAAUAGUUAGGAAGGUACCAAUCAAAUUGUUCCCGCUAAGACCUAGUUGCUUGAGCGCCGUCAAGUUCCCAAAUCCUUCCGGUAUCACUCCACUAAAGUUGUUGUCAAACAACCUCAGUACCUGAAGCUUCGAACACUCCGAUAACGAUGGUGGUAUCACACCACUUAAUUUGUUGAGGCCAAGGUCAAGCCAUGUGAGUCCUUGAAGACGGGGACAUAUGCUGGAUGGAAGACUGCCAGAUAGGCUAUUAUUUUGAAGAGAAAUAGCUUCCAGUGAGGAAAUAUUGAACAGCCCCAGUGGCAGAAACCCUGAAAGCUGAUUAAAGUCGAGGAGAAUUUCCUUCAACUUUUUUAAUUUCCCAAUCCCCAUUGGUAUUGCUCCUUGUAGAGAAUUAAACUGCAGAUUGAACGUCUCCAGCUUUGACAUGUUGGAGAUAGAAGGUGGGAUAAAGCCUGUAAAGCUAUUGUUCUUCAGAGAAAAUUGUCGGAGUUGUUGGAAGGAACCAACCCAAGAGGGAAUAUUUCCGCUAAGCAUGUUAUUGCCUAAACUAAGGACUCGUAACCUGGACAGACGAAUCAAUUCAUGGGGAAGUUCUCCGUAAAAGUUGUUCCUACUCAUAUCGAGGGACAUGAGAAAGGAGAGAUUGCCCAGUUGUGGAGGAAUGGUGCCGGUAAGGCCCAAGUUGGAGAUAUUCAAGGCAGUGACUCUGCGGUGGCGAGAGCCGCAACUGACUCCUCUCCAGUCACAAACUGAGGAAGUAGCCGACCAGUUGCUUGCCAAGAUUUCGUGAGGUUCCCCAGUGAUUUUGGCUUUCAAUGAGAGAAGGGCUGAUUGAUCCGAGGUAAUGUUGGGGGUGGCCAUGGCUAAGCAAGAUAAGAGAUAACAUAGCAAGAAGAGUCCAUGGGGAAAAUACAAGUGAGAUAAUUUCUUCAUGAUUAUACUCUCAGUUUUGCUAGCAUUUAAGACAACAGACACGGGCUAAUAAUGUCUAUUACAUGUACUUAUAUAUAUAUACAUACCAGACACUUGGUACAUCUAAUGCACGUAUGCCAGGACAAAGAUGGAGACAAUAAUAGCAUGAAUUCCGACCGGAUGAAAUUUGGUUUUGGAAUUAUCUUCCAGAUUAAAACAUACUUCUGUAUAGCAAGUCAACGCUGGUUCUUUUUUAUUUUUUACUUUACAUCAAAUUUUAAAAACCUAAAUAUCCUCUAUUUUCUCCCAGAUCAUUUAUAGGGGAUAUUAGGUGUCAAUCCCCCAGGAAAAAUUGUCAAUUACCAAUGGUUUUCAAUUUCUUUAUUUUUUAGAUAACCACAAAUUAAAGCAAGUAAAUCUAAUCUACAGUCAUAAAAUUAAAUAAAGUAAAAAUGACAUUAAAAAUUUCCCAGGGUUAUGAAAUUCCCUCCUACUCUUACAAGUAAAAUUACUGGUUAAUUGAAUGUUAUUAUCUUAACUAAACAUGGUGUAAUUUCCUAAUCUAUGUAAAACAUAUUCUUGUAGUGAAUCAUCUAUACUUGUUAUCAAACUAUAACUACUCUCGUAGUUAUAAAACUAACUAUAAGUUUAUUUCUUCGGUGAAAUUACAUGAAAUAAUGCUAGCAAGUCUACUCUCGUGAGUGCACUUAGUGUUAAAUUUUAAUUCUCGUUGCAAAUCUAAUACAUUGAAAUUAUCAUAGUUAAUGGCCAGUAAUCAUGAUUACAUAAAUAAAAUUGCUAAAUAACUUGUUCAAAAUCAUGGUAUCAAAUAACCAAGUAAAUAUUACAAACAAGAUACAGAAAAUUCAUCCAUAACUCUAGACAUACACGUUAACAACACAUGAUGAAUAUAAAAUCCAAAUUUGUAUAAUAAUUAAACAAUAGAAUCUAAUACAAAAGACAAAAGAAUCCAACUAUGAAUCUCUUAUUAAUCAUGCUAAUGUCUCUUCAAACUAAACUCGGUCUUCUUUAAAAUUAGAAACAUCCUUGGAAAAUUGAUUUUUUUUUUAAAUGAAAGUUGAAAGGUGAUCGAACUUGUCGGGCCAAGGUUUUUUUUUUUAACUGAGAUCAAAAAGUUAUUUGUUUAAGCAAAUAAAUUAUCAAAUGAAAGUAUAAAAAAUGACAGUGCCUAAACCCAACAAGCAACAAAUGAAGUAUCAAAGAAUUAAAUUACCAAAAUUGGAAGAAAGUGUCUAAAAAACUUGGAAGAAAGUAUUAAAAAAAAAACCAUUUUACAUAAUCUUUUAAAGAUUAAAACCGUAUAAACAUAUAAAAAGAUGCAGAUUACACUUAAAAGAAUAUUUGGAUAACUUUUUCAUUCACAUUUUGAUCUUUAAGAAAACCUAUAUGAGUCACAACAUUAAGUGCUCGUGUCCUUCCAUACAAGCAUUUUUCGAAAAGAACUAAUAGUUUGCAUUUUGUCAGUUAAUUUAUGAUUGUUUUCCCCUUAAUUUUGUUCCAAGUAUUGCAUUAAUUGGUAGAUUUUAUUUAUUUUUGGUGAUUGGUGUUGUUUGUAGGGAUCCGGAGCUAAAAGAAGUGAAAAACGUGGUUUUUAACUAAGUUUCUAUACAUUUCGACUUGGGUGCAUCAAGGUCUAACUUUACAUAUCUAGAAACUUGGGAUUUGGCACGUGAUUUUUAAUCUUGAAUUUUAGUCGGUUUGAAGCCAUGGAAGUCAGACUCUACAGCGCAUAACUAGUCUCCUAUUUCUAUUAGGACACCAGUUUUGGAAACAAUCUUUUUAUAGGAGAUAUAGGAGAUGAAAUCCGAAAAAAUAGCAUCGUAACUUUUUUUUUUCUCCGUUGUCGUAAGGAAUGAAUGGACGUCUUUUCUUUUCUUGUUCAUCGCACUUUUCGGAGAAUGGCUGCAACACUAAACUCAAAUAUUUCGCGCGUGGCUUUUUUCAUGAUGAUGAACUAAACACUUUUUUCUAGUCAAAAACAAUACAGGAUUUGGUUCAUCUAAAAUUGUGAUAUCGAAUUGAUUAUAUUUAAUUCUUUUAUCACUGGUAUUCGUAUGUUCUCUAAUUUAAUUUCUUAUUGCUAUUAUAUUGUUUGAAUAUCAAGGGCAUUCGAUUUUUAAUUCAAUCUAAUAACCUAAAAUCAAUUAGAGUAGUUAAAUCCGUAAUUAUUUAAUUGCUUUACAAUAAUCGUAACUGGCAUGAUUGGAUUUGUGUCAGGGGACAUAUGAGUAAAUUUAAAAUAACUCUCAUAACGUGUUAUUUGGUUAGAAUAGGGUUUCUCUAAUUCUUAAAGCAAUUGAAAAUUUGAACUCUAAGGUCGUACUUAGGGUUAUUUCUUGAUUAGGGCAGUAGUUAACGAUCGUACCUUAAUCACCAAUAUAACAAGAAGAAGUUGAUUGUGAUCGCGUGUUUGGCAGUUAUAACUUAAUUUGUUUUUCCGUUAAUAAGUUAAAUUAUUAUUUUAUCAAUGAUCAAUUUUAGUAACCAUUUCCGAAAUUAUUCCUUGGUUAAAAUUUAUUUAUUAAUGUUUCAAUUUAAUAACUUAUCAGCUAGGCCUUGUUAUUUGAGUUAUUUAAUUAUUCUCAUUUUUAUAAAAAUCUCCCUUACUCUAUGCUCUAGAAAAAAUGAAUUAUUCUCAGUUCCUGUGAAUUCGACCCUUCUCACCGUUAUAUGCAAAAUUUAUAUUUUAUUUGAAUAGAUAUUUAUUAUUAUACAAAUUCAAUACCUGUCGAGAACAACCGUUCAUUACACCAAUUUUUGUGGCUAAAUUGAGCACUCGCUCUCAACUCACUUUCGGUUGCACUCGCUCUCUCAACUUCUUCAUCUAUUUUUUCUCCAAGACAUUUUUACAAGUCUUCAACGUAUAUUCCGGGCAAACGGGCUAAGACAAACCAAGACGAUUAAGACUUUGGGAUGUACAACGACACUACAAAUGCCAUUUUUCCACACAAUCGGAACAUUAUCUUCCCAUUUGACACAGAACACAAUUUUGUAUUUUAUACUCAUCUUCCCAAUCAAGCCGAAAGACAUACAAACAAAUUUUGCUGAUCUUAGACGUAAAUCUAUGAAAUUGUAUUGCUUAAAUUCAUCAUUCAAUCGUUUUCCUCAGUUGCAGUCUUCAUUGCAGACAGUUCCAUAGUCGUCAAGGUGGUGAGGUGACUACAAAUACAAAAGGGCACUUUGCCAGUGUUAACAUUCGCAUUUAGUGAAACAAAUUUAUCUCUUUUUUUUUUGUUCCCACUCUUUCAAAUAUAGUCCAAUGAGAAGCAAAUUGAAGGUGUGAGUAAAAAAUCUUUGUUUCCUAUCUUUUAACUUCAUUUGAUGACAUGCAGAAGUAUGUUGAAGGGAAAAAAUCUUUGAGCUUACACAAAAUUAACAAAAGAAAACAAGAAACAUGAAAAUUCUUGUCAUCACAAGAUGACUUGAAAUAAAGCAAGAGAUGCAGACACUUAUGUAAACUACAAAUGAGUUGCUCUAUGCUCUCUGAUUUUGGAAAAUAAGUCGAUUUCGGAUCUUAAAUAGGAAGUAUGGAUUAAAUGAUCUUCAUAUAUAUCUUAUAGAUUUUCAUGGGAAGAAUUUCCGACCAAUUGUAAUUUCAAUUAUUUGAGAUGAUUUGUACAAAAGGAAGACCAAUUAUUAAUAGAGCUGCUAUAUUAAAAUGCAAUAAUACUUUAUCCAAGAGAAUUCACAAUUAAAUCAAUUAAAGAGCAUUGUCCAAAAUGAGGAACGAAAGUUAUAAACGUGGACCAACUAAGAACAUUGGACGAAUAAAUUUUUAAAAGCUUUUCUCAAAGCAAAAGCUUGGGGAGGAGGCGAGGUGGAAGGCAUUGGGCUUGGGGCAUUUUCCCAAAAUUAUAGGGCAGCGAGAUAAGGACUUCAAAAGUAUUUCUCAAAAUUUAUGGGGGAAGAUUAACUAUAUAACUCUUGUGACAUGUCUUUGGAGGCCAACUGUCGUGCUUUCAUUUUGACAAGUUUUAUAACGCGUAUCUUAAAUAUUUAGGUUGGGAAAAUGUUAUGCUUUCAUUUUCAAAUUUAUAGCAUGUGCUUAUCCAGUUCUAACAUGCCCAAGACUUGCAACUAACAACGACAAUGGAACUGUUUCUUUCCACAAAAUUAUCUUCCCAAUCAACCCACAGCUACUAAUUAUACCAAUUUUUGAGCUUUUUAUUAAAAAAAAUAAUGAGAUACUAAUUAUACCAAUUUUUCCAAUUCAAGUCUCCAAUCUUUGUAGUCCUGGUCUUCUUUGAAAGUGAAUGUUGGACUUUCUCAGCCAAAAUGUUAGAGCUUUAUGGAGAUGAUGACAGGUGGGCGACAUUUAAUUUCUGGAACGUCUCUAUGGUUCUUAUCCUUGCAAGCAUCCUUUCAUUUUCCAGCACAAGUCAAGCUUCUAUUACUAUACAGUGUGUUGGUACUUAUAUAUUUACAUGGUUUUAUUACGUUAUCCAAAGUCUCUUCUUUUUAUACACUUGUCUUAGUUUUUUUUCUUUCACAAGUAAAGAAAACGGCUAAUUUCUUAGUUUAUACGUUAAAAAAAAAAACAAUCCGCCAAAUGUACCUCUGACACAGGUCUUUCCUCAAAUUAUAGCGGCCGUGCUGAGUCAACACGGACGCAUAAUUAAAAAUUCCACCGAAACCUGCUCUGCACAAAAUUCAGUGGGUGUCAGAGUGGACGUGUCUAGUCAGCACGUCCGCAUCUGACACAUGUGCAGACGGUUGUCAGUUUGGUCAGGCGCGGACGUGCCCAGUCAGCACGUCCGCGACUGACCAGGCCACUGCAACAUCUGUCAGACGAGGACGUGCUGACUAGGCACGUCCUCUCUGACACCCACUGACUGCGUCUGCGUAUUUGCCCAUCAGAGAGCAGUAGUGUCUCACCACAUCAGUUCAACUAUUGGUGCCACAAUACACUUUUAUGAAACAUUGGAAUUUAUGCUUAAUUUCUUAAGGCCAAACAUGAAACGCGGUGAGGGUAAAAAAAAGUGCCUUUAUUUUUAUUUUCAGAGAAGAUCUGCCUCUGAUGAGAAAUAAAGGUGCAGUUAUUGAUAUUGCAAGGAUUAUCUUUGUUUGUUUGAUUAUUUAUUAUGACAUAAGGUAUAAAUUUGGUACAAAAUAUUAAACGUGUGAGAAUUAUUUAUUUCUUAUUUAAUCAUUUAUUACGAAAUACAAGAGAUUCGAAUUUCAUAAAAAGAAAAUUAAUUAUGCAAGGAAUGUCCUUGGCUAAUUUAAUUCGAUAUGACACAAAAAAAAAAGAGAUUUAAAUUUCUUAAAGAGAAUUUAGGAGGAAAGGUUUGCCUUCAUAUGUUCAUGUCCUUUUAAAGAAACUCAAGUGUACGACUUUGGCAAUUCAAUGAAAAAAUAACGAGGAGAGAAAAUUUAAUUUAGAAGAGAAAGGAUUGUGGUACAAAAUUUUUUUUUUUGGGAGCUGUUUUGAGAGAGAAAAAGGUGAUCAAGAAAACAUUACCAUAUUGUUUAAAUCUGUUGAUACUUGCUUGAUGAGCAAAAGGCAUUGCAACAAUUUUUAGUGAAUAAGUCUCUCUCCAAUAUUUCUUCCCACUAAAAAAAAAAAAAAAAGAUAAGAGUAGAAGAAAAAUGGACUAGUUGGACAUUAAGGAAAUCUCUCUAUUUCUUUCUCUCUUUUUUUUCUCUAUAUUUCUUCAACCCCCCUCACCCAUAACCCCCCGGGUGUUUUUUUUUUGUCCUCUCAACUUCCAUUCCCAAAUUUAAAAAAAUUGAAAAAUGAAUUGAACUUGAAAAAUAUAGAACUUUCUCUGGAAUAUAUUUUUAGCAUCCUUUCCCUUCCAUUUCCAUAACCCCCCCCCCCCCACCCAUAACCCCCCGGGUGUUUUUUUUUUUUGUCCUCUCAACUUCCAUUCCCAAAUUUAAAAAAAUUGAAAAAUGAAUUGAACUUGAAAAAUAUAGAACUUUCUCUGGAAUAUAUUAUUAGCAUCCUUUCCCUUCCAUUUCCAUCCAAAGGAGGCUGGCAAAACUUAAUGAGAUGGACUAAGGUUCUGUCAGUUGAGCCCAGCCGGCUGUCACUUAUCCUUACAAUAAACAUAUCCCAAACUGACUACCGUCUGUGCAUGUGUCAGACGUGGACGUGCUGACUAGGCACGUCUGCUCUGACACCCACUGAAUUUUGUGCAGAGCAGGUUUUGGUGGAAUUUUUAAUUAUGCGUCCGUGCUGACUCAGCACGGCCGCUAUAGUUUGAGAAAAGGCCCGUGUCAGAGGUACAUUUGGCGAAUUGUUUUUUUUUUUUACCUAUAAACUAAGAAAUUAGCCAAAGAAAACACACACACCUCUAAUUUAAACGACACAGAACAUACACUUGUCUUAGUUGAAGAUAAAAGUUUUGUCAAUGCCGAGUUGUGGUGUUCCAAAACCUGCAUAAAUAGUUAAUUAACAAAUCCAUAUAGAAUUUGUUGAAAUAGCCAUACAUUGUGCCAUUGCUCAAUAUUCCGUUUAUUUUUUUUUCUCCCAAGAAACUGUUGCAAGUUUAGGUGUUCUUAGUAUCUUGAUCUUGAAGCCUACAAUUUUUUUUUUGAUACCCAAUUUUAUGUUAGACUCUUAAUAAUUUUUUAUUGAUUAUGUAGCCAUGGUUGAACAUUUGAAUUUAAUUAGUAUUGUCUAUUAACAAAACCGAGUGCUUGUUGUCUAUACGAGUCCAAGCGCCUUCUUCGACAAUGAAAUGUGGAAUUUUUUGCUGUCACAAUAUCAGAUCCUAAUGUAACUGAUCGUAAGUGACAUUUGUCUUGCAAGCGUCUUUCACUUUUCUUACCCGUACCGAUUCUUUGGCAAAUUUUUCUACCCAUCGAGAACCGAGAUUUCGCAAAAGGUUAUAAUAGUUCCCCAAACCAGCAUAUCAUAGAAAAAUGGAAGAAAAAAGCAGUGCAAUCCGCUUACAGUGUAUGUCGAUACUACAUUAUCAGAACUCUACACACACACACGUAUUUACAUCUUAAAGAAAAAUCUUUCUGUCCAGCUCUUAAACUAUUCUCAUUGCCCAUUUAUAGCUCUUUAAUAAUACAUUGUUGCAAACAAGUCCCUUAAAAAAAGUUGGUGCUAAUGGAACGAGGGAUAAUAUUGAUCAAACACAAGAAUUUCUUAACAGUUUUUUGACGAAAUUGUCCGUCCGACCAUUAAACUAUUUUUUUGCACUCUUUUGGCCUCUCAAUAAUGCACUGUUGCAACCAAACCCUUCAAAAGAAAAGUGUCACAUUUAAGGACUUACGCCAAAUUUAGCUGUUAGUACUUACGAAAUAAGGGGUAAAAUUGACCAAGACAUCAAGAGAAAUGUUCUAAAAGGCGUCACAGAUGAAAUUGCCUCAUUAUUUCAUCAAAGCCCAAUGAAGGUUAAGAAAAAUGUCAAGAAGAAAAACGUUAAGAAAUUUUCUUGUCAUUCUGUCAACACUAACGGCUAAAUUUGAUAUAAAUACUUAAACAUGACACUUUUUUUUGUUGAGGGACUUGUUUACAACAAUGUAUUAUUGAGCGGCUAAAUGAACAUAAUAGGAAUAGUUUAGGGUCGGGCAGAUAAUUUCCUUGGUAACUUCUUGUGUUUGGUCAAUUUUACACCUCAUUCCGUUGGCACUAGUGGCUACAUUUAACGUAACCCCUUAAACUUGACACUCUUUUUAUGAAGGAAUUUGUUUGCGACAAUAUAUUAUUUAGGGGUCAAAAGAGUGCAAUAAGAAAAAUUUUAGGGAUUGGGCAGAUAGUUUCCUCUAUCUUAAAUAGUCCGGUUGGGCAAAAUUUUAUACUUUCAUUUUCAAAUUUAUGGCAUGUCCUUCCAACACCAACACGCCCAAGACUUACAACGACAAUGGAAUAGUUUCUUUCAACAAAAUCGACAGAUUAUCUUCCCAUUCAACCAAGAAAAAUCCAGCUACACUAAUUCUACCAAUUUUGAGCUUGUUAAAUAUAUGAGAGAUUGGACGAGUGUUUUGGGAUAAUUCUACCAAUUCGGGUCUCCAAUUUCUGAGUCCAGGUCUUCUUUGAAAGUGAAUGUUGGACUUUCUCAAGCCUAGAUGUCAGAGCGCUAUGAGGAUGAUGGCAAGUGGGCGAGAUUUAAUGUCCGGAGCAUCUGUAUAUUUCCCAUCCUUGCAAGCAUAUUUAAAUUUUCUAGCGCUAGUCAAGAUUUUAUUCUGGGGCAAACUUUUCUAAGCAUUAAGGACUAAGACUUCGGAAAAUUUUACAGUUCCAUAAAAUAGCAUAUUAAGGAAAAGUGGAACAAAAAAAAUACUAUGUGAUACGGUAGCAACUCGUAUACAGUGUGCUGUAUAUACGUUAUCCAAAGUCUUUUUUGGUGCAAAUAUAUUAAUUUCAUAUAUAUUCUCCUGCUCUUUUUAAAUACUCAUCUACAUUGCUGAGUCGAGGUGUUCAAAAACCGGAUAAAUUUGUUGAAAUGGCUUCUUAAAUGUUUGAACUAACUUCAUGUUGCACUCCUAAACUUAUAUAUCUUUUCCACUUUGUACCUUAAAUUUCAAUUUUAGAUACCUUACACUCUAAAUUCUCAAUUUUAGAUACUCUAUACCUCAAACUCUCAAGUUUGUCGUAUUUAAAUCCAAUCAAUUAUAGUAUUAGCAAAAUUAAUAACAUGGAGAAUUCUAUAAAUCAAUGAUUCAAGGCUGCUUACACUCCUCCUUUCCGGGAGAUAAAAGAGGUCAAGGUAUCGUAACUAGAACAUAACUAUGCAUUGUCACUAAUUUGUAUCAUAUUUUAUUUCGUAAAUUUUGUUAAUAAUCAAUGAUAAUAUGUUGAAAAAGGUCAAAAAGAGUCAAGGGAUCGCAAUUAGAAUAAAACGAUAUAUUAUCAUUAGCUUAUACUAUCAUUUAUGUCGUUAAUUUUAGUAAUGUUGUCAUUAAUUAGAUUUAAAUGAGACAAACUUGAAAGUUUAAAGUGUAUAGUAUCCAAAUUUAAAAAAUUUAGGAUAUAAAGGGUCUAAAAUUGAAUUUUAAAAUGCAAAGUGGAAAAAUGGUAUAAGUUCAAAAGUGCAAAGUAGAAUUAGUCCUAAAUGUUUACUAAUCCAAUUAAGGAGCAAGAUUUUCAAAACCUUGGUUUAAAAAAUUUGGAUCAAUGAAUUGGCAAGUUGUCUAAUUAUUCCCGUAUAUACUAGACACUAGGAACAUCUAAUGCACAUGCAAGGACAAUCAUAAGACAAUGAUAACAUCAAAUUCUGUCCUGAUAGUUAUACAUGUAUGGCAAGUGAACACUUUUCCUUUUUGUUUUUAUCUUUUUUUUCGUAUUUUUUUUUCAGCUCUUGUGAUAUUCUUCUUUAGAAAACAAGUGUUAAACAAAACCAUAACCAGAAGUACAAUGGUUAUCGUUUAUUCUGGGCUAUAGAAUGCUUUCUUUCCACAUGAUUGGUACAUUGUCUUCCCAUUUAACCCAGAAACGAGUUUCACACUUUUGUAUUUUACAUUUAUCCACCCAAUCAAGUCAGAAAAAAUUAAAGCCGAUUUUCACUGAUCUUAGAUGUAUACCUAUACAACUGUAUAGCUUAAACUUCAUCAUUCUGCUCAAUCCCCAUAUUCAUUGUAAACAGUACCGUAGUCAAGAAUUUGCGGUGCUGAGGUGAGGUGACCACAAAUACAAAACGAUACUUUGCUGGUGUUAACAUUCGCAGUUAGGGUUGCGACCAAAAUUUUUUUUUUUUUUUGGGUACUCUCAGUGUUAUAAGAAGCUAAUUGAAUAGUGAGUAAAAAGAAUCUUUGCUUGCUAUCUUUUAACCGCAUUUGAUGAUAUGCGAAAGUAUGUUGAAGGGAAAACAUGUUUUAAGUGUACACAAAAGUUACAGAAAUAAUAAUAAUGAUAAUAUUAAUAAUAAUUUUGUCAUCACAAGAUCAGUUGAAAUAAGAUAAGAGUUAUGGUCUUGAAGUAUGUUGAGCGUAGCCCUACACAUUGAUACCAAUUUCACAAGUUGGUUGAGAUUGUUAGGAGACAAACUCAACUAGUUAAGGCCCAACCUUCCUAGCUACAAUUUUUUUUUUUUUUGGGUAGCGACAUAGGUUUAAUCAUAUUGUAGUAGGACUAAUAUCCCUUUGCAGGGUUAUGCAAAGAUUAAAAAAUCCCCAAAUAACGUCCCUAUACUUUAGACUAAUCUGGAAUUUGGAUGGAACCGUUUGUCUAAAUGAAAGUUUGUGAAAUUUCAAUAUUUCCCUAUUUAAUUAUAUUAUCAUUUUUAUAUUUAAAAUUCUUAUUUUUCCUAUUUGCGUUUUUUUUUUCUUGUUUCCCCUUUUCUUCUUCCACCAUCAUCACCAGACCCAAACUUUUCCUAUCUCUGUCGUCUCUCAAGCUAUCACCAUGGUCCGCCGCUCCUUCACAAACUCCUCCCAUCACCACCACUACUGCGACCUUUUAAUUGAAAAGCAAAUCAAGACAAGACCCAAGAUUUUGCUUUCUAAAUCCUCUUAGAGCUUCCGUAUCUAUAGACGAAUAUACCACUAUCAUCACCCAAAAUCGAAAGACUCCGUGAAUGAACAAUAAAUCUCCAGCACCCCAAGAAAUUCACAUUCCACCCACUUUAGUACUAGUGGUGCCACUGCCAAUUCAAGGUUCAUCAUUGUCAUCAUCAUUCUUGGUCGCAGAAGAUUAAUGCACAAGCAAAGGAAAAAAGGAAGAAACAGGUUUAAGCGUGCAAAAUAUAAAACUCUAAUAAAGAUUUUCAUGAAACAGAACUAUGCAAAUGCAGUUUUUCCUCAGGAUUCCUUUCAAAUGACAACUUAGAAAAUGAACUUAAAACAAAUAUAUGAUUGAUAUAUCAGCAUACUUAAGGUGGAUAAUAUAACUCAUUUUGCUUCAUGUUUCAAAUCUUGGCAUCAUCCUGCAACAAAAGACAUUGGAAAGAUUAUUUGAGUGGAGCAAACUUGAUC
rnacentral:lncRNA from 1 species